UGCUUGGAUCUACCGGACUUAAAAGUGUUUCAGAGCAUUUGCAGUUAUAGGUGCUGGAGUCGUUGGGCUCCUUAACUUUGCAACCAUUGCUUAUUCAGAUGAGCCCGAAGAAGAUCCAGUUAUCCAUGCCUCACAAAGCAUACAUUGAGGAAUUGAGGAAGAAACAAAGGGCCAUGGAGGCGGAAAUUGAGGUGGUCGAUGAGCCUAGUGAUGAAGGUUAGAUGUUCACGACCCGGAAAACUGAGUGAUUGAUUUUCACAGCUUUAUGCUAAUGAAGCAGCUUCUGGCUUUGAUUAUGGAUGUACUCAUCCUCAUAAUCUAGGUCUUAUCACUAAGGACCACACAAGGAGCCAGAGUGAUCAUUCUUCAUGUGGUAGUAUGUGCUCAAGAACCUGACCCUGGUGCGCUCUGAAACUGCUUUGAACCGAAGCUUGGCCCGUUUGAAUCCGCCAUUACCUGUGGAUUCAUAGGGGACUCUCAAAGUGAUCUGUCCGGCAAAUGCCUCUAUAAGCAUAGACCCUUGGCAGGAAUUGCUGGCAUCUCCUACCGAAAACAUGAGGUCAUAAACUUUUCCUUUCUGAGUCCUCACUACUUGUGCUAUUGCGCUUUCUCUUCCAGCCACAAGCUCGAUGGCGCGCUUGCCCUCUGGCACGGUGAAGUGUUCAGCAUCAACGUAUUUUACUGCCUUGAGUGAUUCGAUAAUCCAUCCGGGCAAAGGUGAGUGAUCAUCCUCAAUGUUUGGUGGAAUUAGAACACCCCAGCUUGUGUUGGGGAAGAUAUAUGGACCCUCUUCAAAGUUUCCGUUCUUCAACAUGUUGCCUGCUUUUCAUUUUAUGCAUCAGAAUUUGAACUUUACUAACUUUUAGACACACAUAGUAUAAAAGUUUCACGCUGCCAACUUAAA